GCCCGCUCAGAAACUCAAAGGAAUUGACGGGGCCCGCACAAGCGGAGGAGCAUGUGGUUUAAUUCGAUGAUACGCGAGGAACCUUACCUGGGCUCGAACGUAAGAUGACUGUAGGUGAAAGCUUACAUCUCUUCGGAGCAUUUUACGAGGUGCUGCAUGGUUGUCGUCAGCUCGUGCCGUGAGGUGUCGGGUUAAGUCCCAUAACGAGCGCAACCCCUACCUUUAGUUGCCAUCAGGUUAAGCUGGGGACUCUAAAGGAACUGCCUACGCAAGUAGUGAGGAAGGCGGGGAUGACGUCAAAUCAGCACGGCCCUUACGUCCAGGGCUACACACGUGCUACAAUGGCCGAUACAGAGGGCAGCUACCUGGUGACAGGAUGCAAAUCUCCAAAGUCGGUCUCAGUUCGGAUCGGAGUCUGCAACCCGACUCCGUGAAGUUGGAUUCGCUAGUAAUCGCGCAUCAGCCAUGGCGCGGUGAAUACGUUCCCGGGCCUU
rnacentral:rRNA from 1 species